rnacentral:rRNA from 1 species
CCUACGGGUGGCAGCAGUGAGGAAUAUUGGUCAAUGGUCGGAAGCCUGAACCAGCCAAGUCGCGUGAGGGAGGAAGGUACAAUGGAUCGUAAACCUCUUUUAUAAGGGAAUAAAGUGUGGGACGUGUCCCGUUUUGUAUGUACCUGAUGAAUAAGGAUCGGCUAACUCCGUGCCAGCAGCCGCGGUAAUACGGAGGAUACGAGCGUUAUCCGGAUUUAUUGGGUUUAAAGGGUGCGUAGGCGGGCUUUUAAGUCAGCGGUGAAAGUCUGGGGCUCAACCCCAGAACGGCCGUUGAAACUGGCAGGCUUGAGUUGGUUAGAGGCAGGCGGAAUGCGCGGUGUAGCGGGGAAAUGCUUAGAUAUCACGCAGAACCCCGAUUGCGAAGGCAGCAUGCC